GCAUUCGUGGUGUAAUGGUCAGCACGCUCGGCGCGUAUUCGAGAGGUCCGUGGUUCAAGUCCCGGCGAGGGCA
rnacentral:tRNA from 1 species